rnacentral:rRNA from 1 species
CUAAUACAUGCAAGUCGAGCGCGGGAAGCAGAAAGAUUCCUUCGGGAUGACAUCUGUGGAACGAGCGGCGGAUGGGUGAGUAACACGUGGGCAACCUGCCUGUAAGACUGGGAUAACUCCGGGAAACCGGGGCUAAUACCGGAUAAGACUUUAUCUCGCAUGAGAUAGAGAUGAAAGAUGGCUUUUAGCUAUCACUUACAGAUGGGCCUGCGGCGCAUUAGCUAGUUGGUGGGGUAAUGGCCUACCAAAGCGACGAUGCGUAGCCGACCUGAGAGGGUGAUCGGCCACACUGGGACUGAGACACGGCCCAGACUCCUACGGGAGGCAGCAGUAGGGAAUCUUCCGCAAUGGACGCAAGUCUGACGGAGCAACGCCGCGUGAGUGAGGAAGGUCUUCGGAUCGUAAAACUCUGUUGUUAGGGAAGAACACGUACGAGAGUCACUGCUCGUACCUUGACGGUACCUAACCAGAAAGCCACGGCUAACUACGUGCCAGCAGCCGCGGUAAUACGUAGGUGGCAAGCGUUGUCCGGAAUUAUUGGGCGUAAAGCGCGCGCAGGCGGCUUCUUAAGUCUGAUGUGAAAUCUCGCGGCUCAACCGUGAGCGGUCAUUGGAAACUGGGGAGCUUGAGUACAGAAGAGGAGAGCGGAAUUCCACGUGUAGCGGUGAAAUGCGUAGAGAUGUGGAGGAACACCAGUGGCGAAGGCGG